rnacentral:rRNA from 1 species
AUAAUCCAGCCGAUACCCCCCAUGACCAUGAAGGCGAGGGGAGCUGUUGCGACAAGUACGGAAGCGAUUUCCGCACGAGGUGGGGGAGCAGUCACGUAAGAAUACGUGCACGCUCUGGACUUGGUAGUUUUCAUCUAGUUACAACUAUAUCAUAACUCUUGAAUUAAUCAAGAGCCUAAAAAUCAGUGUUCGGUAAAGGUUUACCGCUCUAUGAAGAGCCUGCUCAGUAUCAGCUAGUUGGUAGGGUAAUGGCCUACCAAGGCGACGACGCUUAGGGGGGGUGAGAGCCUGUUCCCCACCGAUGGAACUGAGAAACGGUCCAUACACCUACGGGUGGCCGCAGCCGAGAAUAUUCGACAAUGGGCGAAAGCCUGAUCGAGCGACGCCGCGUGAUCGAUGAAGUCCUUCGGGAUGUAAAGAUCUUUUAUAGGGGAGGAAGCGUGCGAAGCACGCAGUUUGUAAAGUAAAAAGUCUAUAAAGUUUGUAAAGUAAGAACAAAACUCUGCUUUAUGAACUUGUAACUUGAUAAACUUUAUAACUUGCGCGCUUCGCGCGAUUGACGUUACCCUAUGAAUAAGAGGUUGCUAAACUCGUGCCAGCAGCAGCGGUAAUACGAGUGCCUCAAGCGUUAUCCGGAAUCAUUGGGCGUAAAGGGUGUGUAGGCGGUUGUGUUAGUCUUCUGUGAAAUUCUUCGGCUUAACCGGGGGUCCGCAGAGGAUACGGCACGACUUUGAGGGUGCGAGAGGUGUGCGGAACUCUAGGUGUAGGGGUGAAAUCCGUUGAUAUCUAGGGGAACGCCAAAAGCGAAGGCAGCACACUGGCGCAUUUCCUGACGCUGAAACACGAAAGCGUGGGGAGCGAAUGGGAUUAGAUAAUCCCCGCCCGCUCGUAAAAUGUAGGCAAAAGGUGUCUCUCCCGAAAGCGAUUUCGGGAUGUAAAUCUAGCUGUAUCGGGGAAACUCUGGAGCACUAUGCGCUUACUGGCGCGCUUCAGACAAUCCCGAGGGAAGUUGUGAAUUUCGUUGAGGAAAAAAAGAAAGGAGAUGAUAAUUAUGUCAUUUGGAGAAUUGGUGUUGCUUCUUGUCGUCAUUGGCGGUCUGGUCGUAUUUUUUCAGUCGCCUGAUUCGAAAAGAAGGCUCCGAGGUCCAUGGUUCUAGAUAUCCUCAAGAGGUCAGUAUGCCACUGGCCUCCUCAAUGAAGUUCACAACCCCGUAGAGACUAUGAAAUUGAGCAAGGUAGUUGGCGCAUUUUCUGUCGUAAUGCAAAAAAAAAGAUGCAAAACGCGGAUUCAAAAUAUGUGCCUUUGUCGGAUCAAGCGCGAGCCAUUAUUCUGGGUUCAAUCCUUGGAGAUGGAUCGCUCAAGAUUCAAAGCGAGUAUUCCAAUGCGAAUUUACAAAUUCGUCAUUCGGAAACUCAAAAAGACUAUCUCUUAUGGAAAGCGAAU